GGAGAGGUGACCGAGCGGUCGAAGGUGACAGUCUUGAAAACUGUUGAGGUUCACGCCUCCGCGGGUUCGAAUCCCGCCCUCUCCGCCA
rnacentral:tRNA from 1 species